UGGGGAAUUUUGGACAAUGGGCGAAAGCCUGAUCCAGCAAUGCCGCGUGUGUGAAGAAGGCCUUCGGGUUGUAAAGCACUUUUGUCCGGAAAGAAAUCCUUGGCUCUAAUACAGUCGGGGGAUGACGGUACCGGAAGAAUAAGCACCGGCUAACUACGUGCCAGCAGCCGCGGUAAUACGUAGGGUGCAAGCGUUAAUCGGAAUUACUGGGCGUAAAGCGUGCGCAGGCGGUUUGCUAAGACCGAUGUGAAAUCCCCGGGCUCAACCUGGGAACUGCAUUGGUGACUGGCAGGCUAGAGUAUGGCAGAGGGGGGUAGAAUUCCACGUGUAGCAGUGAAAUGCGUAGAGAUGUGGAGGAAUACCGAUGGCGAAGGCAGCCCCCUGGGCCAAUACUGACGCUCAUGCACGAAAGCGUGGGGAGCAAACAGGAUUAGAUACCCUGGUAGUCCACGCCCUAAACGAUGUCAACUAGUUGUGGGAAUUCAUUUCCUUAGUAACGUAGCUAACGCGUGAAGUUGACCGCCUGGGGAGUACGGUCGCAAGAUUAAAACUCAAAUGAAUUGACGGGGUCAUAGCUG
rnacentral:rRNA from 1 species